rnacentral:rRNA from 1 species
CGUAGUCAACCUACCUUUUAGUGGGGAAUAACUAGCCUAAAGGUUAGCUAAUACCGCAUACGAUCGUCGAGUGGCAUCACUUGACGCUGAAAGCAGCAAUGCGCUAAGAGACGGGACUGCGUCCCAUUAGCUAGUUGGUGGGGUAAUGGCCUACCAAGGCACCGAUGGGUAGCUGGCUUGAGAGAGCGACCAGCCACACUGGAACUGAGACACGGUCCAG